CGGCCCACCAAGGCGACGAUCGGUAGCCGGACUGAGAGGUUGAACGGCCACAUUGGGACUGAGACACGGCCCAGACUCCUACGGGAGGCAGCAGUGGGGAAUAUUGCACAAUGGGGGAAACCCUGAUGCAGCGACGCCGCGUGGAGGAAGAAGGUCUUCGGAUUGUAAACUCCUGUUGUUGGGGAAGAUAAUGACGGUACCCAACAAGGAAGUGACGGCUAACUACGUGCCAGCAGCCGCGGUAAAACGUAGGUCACAAGCGUUGUCCGGAAUUACUGGGUGUAAAGGGAGCGCAGGCGGGAAGACAAGUUGGAAGUGAAAUCUAUGGGCUCAACCCAUAAACUGCUUUCAAAACUGUUUUUCUUGAGUAGUGCAGAGGUAGGCGGAAUUCCCGGUGUAGCGGUGGAAUGCGUAGAUAUCGGGAGGAACACCAGUGGCGAAGGCGGCCUACUGGGCACCAACUGACGCUGAGGCUCGAAAGUGUGGGUAGCAAACAGGAUUAGAUACCCUGGUAGUCCACACCGUAAACGAUGAAUAGUGGGUGUUGGAGGAUUGACCCCUUCAGUGCCGCAG
rnacentral:rRNA from 1 species